UACAGAGGCCUCGAGCGUUAGGCGGAGUCACUGGGCUUAAAGCGUGUGUAGGCGGACUUCUAAGUGCCUUGUGAAAUCCCACGGCUCACCCGUGGAACUGCUGGGCAUACUGGGAGUCUUGAGCCACCUAGGGGCGAGCGGAACAAAUGGUGGAGCGGUGAAAUGCGUAGAUAUCAUUUGGAACGCCAACGGAGAAAUCAGCUCGCUGGGGGUGUGCUGACGCUGAGACACGAAAGCCAGGGGAGCGAACGGG
rnacentral:rRNA from 1 species